UCUUCUUAAAUCAUAUUGCUCGAUUUUGAUGUUCUGUUUGAUAUUACUAGCUGGUUCGGGGUUUCAGCGCUAAAGCUAUAAUUUUAUCCGACCUAUCAAUCAAUUCUUCACAAGAUUGUAUAUUUUUCAAGACUUCCUUUCCUUGGAGUGUUUCCAAAUUAAGUUUAAAACUAAAAAGGUCAACAAAAAAGCAUUAAACGUGAACUGUAAGCCUGCCUUUUGCGGUGAGCCAAACUGAGAAGAAUCCAGCUGAGCUAGGAGGAGUCAGGAACAGCGCCCUUCCAACAGUCAAACUGGAACUCAGCGCCCCAAAAGUUUUUCCAGCUGUCGGCUGAACCGGCCCAACGCCCUUCAACGAAUUGUCUCGUAAGUCGGUUAAGCGCGUAGAUGGACAUCCAAUAACGUGUCCUAAGUGAGCUGCCGGUUUCGCUCUUGAUGACAAUUUAGUGUCUUAAUCUUUUCAGCGAUUCGCUGGCUUCUAUGGAAACUCUUUUAGACACACCAAACGCAAAUGCAAUAAAC